AUACAUCACACGUGCUCAUGUACAGCACUGUUCUUAUGAGCUUAAUAAUUAAUACAGGUUCAAUUGGGACGCAAGAUAGUAAACUUAUUUUUGGAUGUUUGCGGAGUGCUUGAAGGCGGCUUCUUCAUCUCCGACGCUGGUCGGCUCGCUAUUGUGCUAACUCCAGGAUCGGCCCACGCUCA